rnacentral:misc_RNA from 1 species
AGAGAGAGAGAGAGAGAGAGAUACGUUGGCUUUGUUUGUUUUAUGUUUUCGGUGUUUGUUUUGUUGGGCUUUUGGAAUUUGGAGAGAAGAAUGUGGAGGACCUGAUUUUGGCGGCUUGGGUACAAAGCCAAGAAUAUAUAUAUAAAUAUAUACAAAGAUUUUGGUUUGCAGAGACACAGAGAGAAAGCUUAAUGAAAUGGAGGAGAGAGAGAGAGAAU